rnacentral:rRNA from 1 species
AUUGAACGCUGGCGGCAUGCCUUACACAUGCAAGUCGAACGGCAGCACGGGUGCUUGCACCUGGUGGCGAGUGGCGAACGGGUGAGUAAUACAUCGGAACAUGUCCUGUAGUGGGGGAUAGCCCGGCGAAAGCCGGAUUAAUACCGCAUACGAUCUACGGAUGAAAGCGGGGGACCUUCUGGCCUCGCGCGAUAGGGUUUGGCGAUGGCUGAUUAGCUCGUUGGUGGGGGGAAGGGCUACCAAAGCGACGAUAAGUAAGUGGUCUGAGAGGCCGACCAGCCACGCUGGGACUGAGACACGGCCAAGACUCCUACGGGAGGCAGCAGUGGGGAAUUUUGGACAAUGGGCGAAAGCCUGAUCCAGCAAUGCCGCGUGUGUGAAGAAGGCCUUCGGGUUGUAAAGCACUUUUGUCCGGAAAGAAAUCCUUGGCCCUAAUACGGUCGGGGGAUGACGGUACCGGAAGAAUAAGCACCGGCUAACUACGUG